rnacentral:rRNA from 1 species
UACGGGGGGAGCAAGCGUUGUUCGGAUUUACUGGGCGUAAAGGGCGCGUAGGCGGUCAGCACAAGUCAGUUGUGAAAUCUCCGGGCUUAACUCGGAAAGGUCAACUGAUACUGUGCGACUAGAGUGCAGAAGGGGCAACUGGAAUUCUCGGUGUAGCGGUGAAAUGCGUAGAGAUCCGGAAGAACACCGGUGGCGAAGGCGGUCUGCUGGGGUAAUGCUGACACUGAUGCGCGACAGCGUGGGGAGCAAACAGG